rnacentral:misc_RNA from 1 species
UCAGGAUCGGGAUGGUAGAACUGUUCUUGUGUUGAGACCAGGAAAACAGAACACAACAUCGCACGAUAAUCAACUCCGCCAUCUUGUGUACCUCUUGGAGAAUGCGAUUCUCAACCUACCUGAGGGGCAAGAGCAAAUGGUGUGGCUGAUAGACUUCACUGGUUGGUCAUUUAGUAACUCGGUGCCGAUAAAGACUGCUCGAGAGACGGCUAACAUUCUGCAAAAUCAUUAUCCGGAGAGACUUGGCACUGCUUUUUUGUAUAAUCCUCCAAGGAUCUUUGAGGCAUUCUGGAAGAUAGUCAAACAUUUUCUGG